rnacentral:rRNA from 1 species
UACGUAGGGGGCAAGCGUUGUCCGGAUUUAUUGGGCGUAAAGAGCGUGUAGGCGGCCAGGUAGGUCUGCUGUGAAAACUCGAGGCUUAACCUCGAGCUGUCGGCGGAAACCAUCUGGCUAGAGUCCGGAAGAGGAGAAUGGAAUUCCCGGUGUAGCGGUGAAAUGCGUAGAGAUCCGGAGGAACCCCAGAGGCGAAGGCGGCGCCCUGGCUCGCAACUGACGCUCAGACACGACAGCAUGGGGAGCGAACGGG